UGCCAAAAUUCAGCAAUCUGUCAACUGUAGGAAGUCUUUGCUGGGCAGCUAGCCAUACAGUGAACUUGUGUCGAGGUUGAACAUUUGUAGUCAUCAUCAAAUUCUUCCAUUCAACCUUAUUGAAACUGGGUAUCAUUGUAAGGUAAAGUUUCUGGAUUUGGAAUUUAUUCAGCCUGCACACUUCUUUCAACCUGCUAGAUCCCCAU
rnacentral:lncRNA from 1 species